rnacentral:tRNA from 1 species
AAGGGAGACCUAAUUCGGGUAUAAGACGAAAAAAGAGUAGUCGAAACCAAGAAUCAAUCCCAAAAGGUCGGAACGAGGUAUGUGGCUUUCAAACUAGGUUCUGGGUUCACACAAGACCUGAAUCAGGAACAAGGGCUAUUAGCUCAGGUGGUUAGAGCGCACCCCUGAUAAGGGCGAGGUCCCUGGUUCGAGUCCAGGAUGGCCCACCUGCACAGGUGGCAAAAACAAAGAAGCGAGGAAUCAGCACCUUAUCUUACUUAUAUAGUAAGAGAGAAUGCUGGCUCUGAGUAAAGAGUCCAGAGGAACCUUGAAAACUGCAUAGAGCUAGGUGAAAAAGCCAAAAAAGAAGACCGCAA